rnacentral:rRNA from 1 species
UACGUAGGUGGCAAGCGUUGUCCGGAAUUAUUGGGCGUAAAGCGCGCGCAGGCGGUCCUUUAAGUCUGAUGUGAAAGCCCACGGCUUAACCGUGGAGGGUCAUUGGAAACUGGGGGACUUGAGUACAGAAGAGGAGAGUGGAAUUCCACGUGUAGCGGUGAAAUGCGUAGAGAUGUGGAGGAACACCAGUGGCGAAGGCGACUCUCUGGUCUGUAACUGACACUGAGGCGCGACAGCGUGGGGAGCAAACAGG